ACGGGAGGCAGCAGUGGGGAAUAUUGGUCAAUGGGCGGAAGCCUGAACCAGCCAAGUCGCGUGAAGGAAGACGGUUCUAUGGAUUGUAAACUUCUUUUGUUCGAGGGUAAAGUGAGAGAUGCGUCUCUUAUUGCAAGUAUCGGACGAAUAAGCAUCGGCUAACUCCGUGCCAGCAGCCGCGGUAAUACGGAGGAUGCGAGCGUUAUCCGGAUUUAUUGGGUUUAAAGGGUGCGUAGGCGGGAUGUUAAGUCAGCGGUGAAAGCGUGUUGCUCAACAAUACCGAGCCGUUGAAACUGGCGUUCUUGAGUGUAAACGAGGUAGGCGGAAUGUGAUGUGUAGCGGUGAAAUGCAUAGAUAUGUCACAGAACUCCGAUUGCGAAGGCAGCUUACCAGCAUACGACUGACGCUGAGGCACGAAAGCGUGGGUAUCAAACAGGAUUAGAUACCCUGGUA
rnacentral:rRNA from 1 species